rnacentral:rRNA from 1 species
AUGGCUCUCUGUUUACAGGGGAAAAUCUUUUUCACAAUGAUUUCUCCCUAUCUGUUCGUUUUACAUCUGCUAUGCUUGGAGAUUCUUUCAUUCUUUGAAAUGUCUAUGAGCCCUGGACCAGAAAGAUCUCAAUUCCUGAAUUGGUUCAAAGAUAUUCAAAUGCUAGUAGAUACUAAAUGGAUUAUCAUGGGUGAUUUCAACUAUGUCAGAUUUCUAAGUGAUAGAAACAGGGCUGGAGGCAACUUCACAGAGAUGUUACAAUUUAAUGAGGCCAUCAAUGCCCUAGCUUUGGUUGAAAUCCCUCUGAAGGGUGGAAAUUACACUUGGAGUAAUAUACAAGAUGCCCCUCUUUUAGAGAAGCCGGACUGGGAUUUUACUUCAAAAUCUUGGACCAAUGAAUUCCCCAAUACAUUGGUCUUGCCCCUUGGCAAACUAAUCUCUGAUCACACCCCAUGUUUGAUCCAAAUUGGUACACACAUUCCUAACAAAAUAUUCAGGUUUGAAAACUUCAGGAUGAAGUACAGGGUUUUAAAGAGGUGGUCGAGCAAAACUGGGAGCAGGAAACCCACAUCAUAA